GACGAACGCUGGCGGCAGGCUUAACACAUGCAAGUCGAGCGCCCCGCAAGGGGAGCGGCAGACGGGUGAGUAACGCGUGGGAAUCUACCUAUCUCUACGGAACAACUCCGGGAAACUGGAGCUAAUACCGUAUACGCCCUUCGGGGGAAAGAUUUAUCGGGGAUAGAUGAGCCCGCGUUGGAUUAGCUAGUUGGUGGGGUAAUGGCCUACCAAGGCGACGAUCCAUAGCUGGUCUGAGAGGAUGAUCAGCCACAUUGGGACUGAGACACGGCCCAAACUCCUACGGGAGGCAGCAGUGGGGAAUAUUGGACAAUGGGCGAAAGCCUGAUCCAGCCAUGCCGCGUGAGUGAUGAAGGCCUUAGGGUUGUAAAGCUCUUUCACCGAUGAAGAUAAUGACGGUAGUCGGAGAAGAAGCCCCGGCUAACUUCGUGCCAGCCGCCGCGGUAAGAC
rnacentral:rRNA from 1 species